rnacentral:rRNA from 1 species
GACAGAGGGUGCAAACGUUGCUCGGAAUCACUGGGCGUAAAGGGCGCGUAGGCGGACAAGUAAGUCGGGCGUGAAAUCCCUAGGCUCAACCUAGGAACUGCACUCGAAACUGCAUGUCUUGAGUACCGGAGAGGAAAGCGGAAUACCUGGUGUAGAGGUGAAAUUCGUAGAUAUCAGGUGGGACACCAGUGGCGAAGGCGGCUUUCUGGACGGUAACUGACGCUGAGGCGCGAAAGCGUGGGGAGCAAACAGG